UAGCUGGUCUGAGAGGACGAUCAGCCACACUGGCACUGCGACACGGGCCAGUCUCCUACGGGAGGCAGCAGUAAGGAAUAUUGCGCAAUGGGCGAAAGCCUGACGCAGCGACGCCGCGUGGGGGAUGAAGGUCUUCGGAUUGUAAACCCCUUUCGGGAGAGAAGAUGGAAUGGGGUAACCCCUUCGGACGGUACCUCCAGAAGCAGCCACGGCUAACUUCGUGCCAGCAGCCGCGGUAAUACGAAGGUGGCAAGCGUUCUUCGGAUUUACUGGGCGUACAGGGAGCGUAGGCGGAUCGGUAAACCCUCUGUGAAAUCUUCAGGCUUAACUUGGAAAAGUCGGAGGGGACUGCCGGGCUAAAGGACGGGAGAGGAGCGCGGAAUUCCCGGUGUAGCGGUGAAAUGCGUAGAGAUCGGGAGGAAGGCCGGUGGCGAAGGCGGCGCUCUGGAACGUUUCUGACGCUGAGGCUAGAAAGCGUGGGGAGCAAACAGGAUUAAAUACCCUGGUAGUCCACGCCUUAAACUAUGAAUAC
rnacentral:rRNA from 1 species